rnacentral:rRNA from 1 species
GCCUACGGGGGGCAGCAGUAGGGAAUCUUCCACAAUGGGCGAAAGCCUGAUGGAGCAACGCCGCGUGGGUGAAGAAGGUCUUCGGAUCGUAAAACCCUGUUGUUAGAGAAGAAAGUGCGUGAGAGUAACUGUUCACGUUUCGACGGUAUCUAACCAGAAAGCCACGGCUAACUACGUGCCAGCAGCCGCGGUAAUACGUAGGUGGCAAGCGUUAUCCGGAUUUAUUGGGCGUAAAGGGAACGCAGGCGGUCAUUUAAGUCUGAUGUGAAAGCCUUCGGCUUAACCGGAGUAGUGCAUUGGAAACU